rnacentral:rRNA from 1 species
AAAUGAUAGGAAUGCUUAGUGGCGGACUGGUGAGUAACGCGUGAGGAACCUGCCUAUCAGAGGGGAACAACAGUUAGAAAUGACUGCUAAUACCGCAUAUACCUUAGAAUCACAUGGUUCAAAAGGGAAAGGAGCAAUCCGCUGAUAGAUGGGCUUGCGUCUGAUUAGCUAGUUGGUGGGGUAAUGGCCUACCAAGGCAACGAUCAGUAGCCGAACUGAGAGGUUGAACGGCCACAUUGGGACUGAGAUACGGCCCAGACUCC